rnacentral:lncRNA from 1 species
CCGGUCCAAUUUAUCUUCUGGUGAACGUGCUGCUGGCUAAGAGGUUCAGGAAGUUUCAUUGGUGGCUCUAACCGGUUAUGGAUUAUAUGAGUUGCUAAAUGUGUUGAGAUUGGAUUGGCACAGAUUAUGCUGCUAAUUUUCUCAUAGUACAUACCCACUCUUAUGAAGGGAAAAAGCCAAGUAUAGGACCGAUUUGUUGUGUAAAAUGGUUGGUUUUAAUUUACUGGUUGCUGAAUGAUAAGGAUAUGUUUUUCUAGCACGAGAUUAUUGAUGCUACUAGAAGAGGAAGCAGGUUGUUUAACGUUGGGGGUUUUUUAGAUGAGACCACUUGUAUUUAUGGGAUCACUUUGCUUUUGUAAGGACUUGUGGGUUUAAUUUGGAUGAAAGGCUGGAUUAGGUAUCAAACAAUUCUUUUGCAAAGGUACCC